rnacentral:misc_RNA from 1 species
AAGACUAUAGACCUGCGGAGUACCUGCGGAAGGAUCAUUAUCGUAUUGUAACAAUUGGGGGGGCCACCGUGGGCUGUCGCUGACCCUUUGAAAGGGGGGUCGUGCACGCCCCCAUAGUGUCAUCCUCAUACAAUCCAACUCACCUCUGUGCAUCACCGCGUGGGUUCCUUUCUGGGUCGAGUCAGACUGGCUCAGAAAAAAGGGGCUUGCGUUUUCCAUAUAAAUACCCUUAUAAAUCCA